rnacentral:ribozyme from 1 species
ACAUGCAUGAAAGAAGACAAAGAAGAAAAGGAAAAGAAAGAAAGAAAGAAAGAAUAAACAACUCUUUUUCAUUCAUUCGUUGCUGUUCUUUAGUUCCCUUAAAUAUUCUUCUUUUUUUCCUUU